rnacentral:rRNA from 1 species
UUUAAAGUCUAAUCUGCCCUAUGAGGAUUUAAAUGGCCGCGGUAUUUUGACCGUGCAAAGGUAGCAUAAUAAUUAGUUUUUUAAUUGAAAGCUGGAAUGAAUGAUUGGACGAGAAAAUAACUGUCUCAAUUUAAUUUUAUUAGAAUUUUAUUUUUAAGUAAGAAAGCUUAAAUUAUAUUAAAAGACGAGAAGACCCUAUAGAGUUUUAUAGUUGAUUAAUUAUUAAUUUUUUAGAAUUAUUUUAUUAAUAUUUGAUUAAUUAUUUUGUUGGGGCGAUAGAAAAAUAUAAUUAACUUUUUUUAAUUUUUUUUUACAUUGAUUUAUGAUUUUAUGAUCCAUUAUUUAUGAUUAGAAGAUUAAGUUACCUUAGGGAUAACAGCGUUAUUUUUUUUUAGAGUUCUUAUCGAAAAAAAAGAUUGCGACCUCGAUGUUGGAUUAAAAUUAAAGUUAGGUGUAGGAGCUUAAUUAUUAGGUCUGUUCGACCUUUAAAAUUUUACA